AACGCGAAGAACCUUACCAAGGCUUGACAUGCAGGGAAAAGCCGUGGAGACACGGUGUCCGUAAGGGUCCUGCACAGGUGGUGCAUGGCUGUCGUCAGCUCGUGUCGUGAGAUGUUGGGUUAAGUCCCGCAACGAGCGCAACCCUUAUCCUAUGUUGCCAGCGGGUAAUGCCGGGGACUCAUGGGAGACUGCCGGGGUCAACUCGGAGGAAGGUGGGGAUGAGGUCAAGUCAUCAUGCCCCUUAUGUCUUGGGCUGCAAACAUGCUACAAUGGCCGGUACAGAGGGCUGCGAGACCGUAAGGUGGAGCGAAUCUCAAAAAGCCGGUCUCAGUUCGGAUUGGGGUCUGCAACUCGACCCCAUGAAGUCGGAGUCGCUAGUAAUCGCAGAUCAGCAACGCUGCGGUGAAUACGUUCCCGGGCCUUGUACACACCGCUGUA
rnacentral:rRNA from 1 species